GCAACAAGUAACUACUCAACUCCAAUCCUCUCUCCUAAACAUUUACGUCUGUUUUCCCAACUAAAAAAAAGUUGACUUCCACAGACUCACACUCUCACUAAGAAGAAAAGAACAGAGAAGAAAAAAAAGGACAAUGUUCAAAUACCUCAAGUCUAAAUUCUGCUUGAAGCUUGAAGCUUGAAGCUUGAAGAUGGAAGAAAAAGAUGCAGAAAUGGCAUUGAAAACCCAGAAAUUGAAGAAAGGCAAAUACAUCUUCCAGAUGAUAUCAUUUUUCACCGCAUCCUUCCAUGUCAACCCAUCAAAUCCUUAGCUCAGUACAAGCUCGUCUCCAAAUCUUGGUAGAAUGACCCUGAUUGAGAAAAGAAAGUUAGGUGCCAAGAUGAAAAACUCAACAAUGUAAUGCGACUUGUACCUCUUUUUCUUUUAGCUAUGGACGUUUUACUAGUCUGUACACUCUUCUAUGCUGUGAUCCAUGAAUGGCUGAGGCUUUAACAUUUAACUUCGGUUUGCUAUGUUAUGAUCAAUGAAGGGAUGUAAACUUAAAUGCAGAUCAUUAAGUAUGAAUGUAUGAUGAACUUUUGCUACUA